rnacentral:rRNA from 1 species
CAGUAGCCGCGGUAAUGCGGAGGGAGCUAGCGUUGUUCGGAAUCACUGGGCGUAAAGCGCACGUAGGCGGCUAUUCAAGUCAGGGGUGAAAGCCCGGGGCUCAACCCCGGAACUGCCUUUGAAACUAGAUAGCUUGAAUCUUGGAGGGGCGAGUGGAAUUCCACGUGUAGCGGUGAAAUGCGUUGAGAUCGGAAAGAACACCAACGACGCAAGCACUCUGCUGGGCCGACACUGACACUGAGAGACGAAAGCUAGGGGAGCAAAUGGGAUUAGAUACCCGCGUAGUCCCUGUCUCUUAUAA